UACGAAGGGGGCUAGCGUUGCUCGGAAUGACUGGGCGUAAAGGGCGCGUAGGCGGAUGGCACAGUCAGCUGUGAAAUUCCUGGGCUUAACCUGGGGGCUGCAUUUGAUACGUGUUGUCUAGAGUGAGGAAGAGGGUUGUGGAAUUCCCAGUGUAGAGGUGAAAUUCGUAGAUAUUGGGAAGAACACCGGUGGCGAAGGCGGCAACCUGGUCCUUGACUGACGCUGAGGCGCGAAAGCGUGGGGAGCAAACAGG
rnacentral:rRNA from 1 species